CAGAUUUAUUAUUAUCUCCAGAUGGACUGUUCUGCCUCUUCCCUCAAAACUUUCUCAUGUUACGAGGAGGAAGCCAAAAGCUGUACACAAGGUGAUUCUGCUGAGCACAGGAAGAAUGGUGAGAAAUACAGCAGCCCUGGGUGAGAGCACUGAGCUGUGGCACUGGUGA
rnacentral:lncRNA from 1 species